CCGCCUGCGCUCAGAGACUCACGCAGCCCCAGUCCCGCCAGUCCGCCAACACAGUAGUGCCGGCCCCCCUCCUUCCCUAGCCCUUCCCCCUCCCCGCCUUUGGCUCGCUCCGCCUUUCUGCCCCCCACCCCCACCUCACGGGUACAGGCCAUUCCCGGCCAGGAAACGCCGUGGCGCCGCGUUGGGCCUAACUCGAGUCUUGCUGCCUCCCGGGAGUGCCGUGCGCCGCAGCCCGGGCCCAGGCCCCGGCAGCGCCUGGGACAAGGUCUUCAGAGCUACUGACAUAACUUUGGGGCACUUCAUAUUCAGAGGUCUAUGUAAAGGAUUCCUCAUGUCCAUAUCAUGUUGGCUGAGGCUGUACAGCUCACCCCCACUCUCAGAGUGGUCAGUCUCCAUUAAUUGGACCCCGUGAUUUCCAUUCUCUGCUGUGUUGGACGUCAUGAGCAUUGCAGUCCCUCUGGGAGUAACUACACCAGAUACAUCCUAUUCAGAUAUGGCUGCUGGAUCAGAAAAGGAAGUGGAAGCCCCCUACCUUUCAAGACGAAGUGGCACUACACCAGGAUGUGAAAGUCCAGCGAAAGAGACCCAAGGGGCCUAGGGGGCAGCACACCCCCAGAAGCCAAGUCUAUUCCAGGCAGUACCAGGGAUUAGGGUCUGGGCUGGAAAAAUCCUGGUGUUUUGAAUAUGUUCAGGUCCAGUUCAGACUCUUGAUCCCACAGCCACUUCUUGAGUGAGGUGGGUGUUGCUCUAAUUCCCCUGUUUCUCUUGCCAUUUUCAUAGUCCCUGGGGGUUCUUCCCCUUCAGCAAAGCAAAGCAACUGUACCAGAAUUCUGGGUUGAACGGCAUCCUUUAUUAAUAGGGCUUCUUUCUUAAAACUGAGACUAUGAUUAAAGAGCAUGUGUAUUUCUUCAUAAAGCCACCUAUUUAUCAUUACUUGUUUAUUGGGUUCCUUGAACAAGACUUAAAGCUACCCUAGGAAAUAAUAUAUAAUAUUCUGGGGUAGUAUGAAGCUGAGAAUAGUUUUCAAGCUUAUCCCAUAUUGAAAUGAAUAGGGAGGGUGGGGAAAUGGGAAAGGAAGAGUGACUUUCUAUUUCAUUUAAGGCUAUUUAUUUUCUUUUAUUAUUAGUUUGCAUGACAAAGAUUCAGUUAAACCAUUAGCUGAGAUUUCCAAAUAUAUAAAUAUUUCCCCAAAUAGAUCACUUAAAAAUUUUCCUGCAUUAUUACAUAUCCCAGUUGUAUAGUGUUGAGGUAUUUAUAAAAUCAGCUAUUUAUCUGCUAUGAUCUGAUAACAGGAAGACAUUUUAACAUUUGUAAGAAAUUUCAGUAGAGAUUAAACCAAUAAAUUUUAAAUUACUAAGAACAAGAUCCAAAUCAAUUAUUCUGAGAAUUAUUAUCUUUCCCAAUUAGUAUAGUGAUAAUUGACUAUAAAUGUUGCUAGGGAAUCUAGUAAUGGCUACAGAAAUAAAAAUAUUUCUGGUAUGCAAAUUUGAUUACAUUGCCACAUCUCAAGAGUUCCUGAACAUUUUCUUCCAUUAUUUUCAUAAGUUUAUGAUGCUGCAGUCAUAACUAAUUUCACAGUUAUUCUUUUAUUAGUUGUAUAAAAGAAGAGACUAUCAGUUAUUGGCUUAUAUACUUCUACUUUUCAAUGUUUCAUCAUGCCUAUUCCCCUAUUCUUAGUACAUUUAAACUGCUCUUAAAGAGCAACAUAUUGGACCAAGUGGAGACCUAAACCAUACCUCAUAGUAUUUUAAAUCUGAUACCAACAAUAUACAGUCUGCAUUUUUUGAUACUUAUACAAAAACUUAUAAUAAAAGAAAGAUGUUUCUGGACUUAAAACUCUGCCCUAAGAGUUUUGGUCAUUUUAAGAGGUGGCAUUAUAGCAGAUUAUAUACUGUACAAAAUUGAUGGAGUUUAUCCGUUGUAAACCUGGUUUUUACUGUAUGUGCCCAACUCUCACACAACUCAUAGAAAAAAGGAUACAA